rnacentral:lncRNA from 1 species
CGGUGCGGGCCGGUGCGGGCCAGUGCAGGCCAGGCCCGGCCGGGGCGAGGCAGGUGGCCAGGUCCGAGGACCGCGUCGCACAGCAGCUUUCAGGACCUGGAGAGAAAUCGAGACACAGAAACUGAGGCCCAGAAGAGCUGAAUAUUUGGCCCAGGCCACACAGGGAGUCCAGCCACGGGUGAUGAGGGGCUGAGGAUCGGGGAGGGACAGGAAACCUGGCCUUUCUGAGCCUUGCUGUCCUUAUCUGCUGCGUCAGGAGACCCUGAUUCCUAGCCCUGGAGGCCAUCCAGAGCAUCUCAUCCAGGGAGCCGAGAGGUCCUUCCACCACCCCGCUGGGGUCCAGCGCAGCUGGGCCAGGAGAAGGGUGGUACAUCACUCCUGCGAGUCGAAGGCGAGACAGUGUGUGAAUGGGGCCUGGACUGCCCAAUUCCCUCUACCAAAGCAACUAGAACCUUCUUCUGCAUUAGGUGAUGGGUACCUGCGUGAGCUGUCAUUUGAAGACAGGGUUCCAGAGCACAAACAAAUUGGAGCCCCUGGUCCUCUCAGCUGGCAUCUGUGGAUUUGGCCUGCCUGGCGGGCCAGGCCAAUCAGAGAAGAGAAUGCCCUAUUGGGCACAGUGAUUGGGGCUCUGGCAUGGUCACAUGACAUGAGACAAGCCAAUAAGCAUGGAUCCUGAGAUUCUGCUUGGCGUCUCCUGGGCUGUACUUCCUGCUUUGUGCUGGGAUUGGGGCCAUGCGGCUGUAAGUCCAGAGCUACUGCAGGCCUCUUGCCACUGUGGGGAACCCAGCCUAGGAUGAAGCACAGGAAUGGAAACAGCUGAAAGAAGCAAGACACAGGGUCCUGACCACAUCUGUUGGAGCCUGGAUCCAACCUUGCCUGGAUCUGCAACCACUACUGAGCUUUUCAUGUACUUGGUGCCAAUAUAUUCCAUGUCUCCAUUUUUAAAAGUAAAUUUGAGUUGGAUGUCCUUUUGCAACUAAAACAAUCCUGACCUAUAUAUUCUUUGGCAUUGUCCCUGUAGAGAAAACUGAGACCCACAGAGGGAAAGUGACUUGCCCAAAGUCAUCCAGUGAACUGGUAACAGACCCAGCCAGAAGUCUCCUGCCUGUAGCCAGCACUCACUUCCCACGGUUUCCCAUGCUUUAACCUGGACAGUAUGGCUUCUGGGAAGCAUAAGCCAGGAGGGGGCAAGGAGCCCCCUGCUUGGGCAGGGAAGGGUGAGCCAGUUCUUCCACCCCUGCAGCAGGGGUCCUGUCUCUGCCAUGGCGGCACCUGUGGGCAAGGAGGGAGCCAGCACAGUCAGAAAUGAGCUCAGUGGUGAAGGCGUCUUCCCACCACUGCAGAACCCAGAGCUCCAUAUCGGAGGUGUGUCAGUGCCCAGCUUAUGCUGAAAUUCAGCUAUUCAUGGAGCCGCAGAGUUCCAGGGGGUCCCUUGGCAUCUAUGGUAGGUGGACUGGGAGAAGAACGACUACACUUUACGUCUUUUUUUUAAAAAAGUUUUCCUUGAAUGGUUUUGCUUGAAAAAUAAAUAGGGGUUCAAUUCUAAUACAUUGGGCUUGGGUCUACAGCCAUUUUACAGAGAGGAAAACUGAGGCUCCAUGCAGUCAGAACUUUGCCAAGGACUUCCAAGAGGGCAAUACUGGCUCUGGGAUUCUGAUUUUCUCUCCCCUCCCACAGCCUUGGUGCGCUGGCUCGCCAUGUGACAAAGGCAAGACCUCAGGCCCCCUUUGAGCUUCUGUGGGAUGAGGUGGUCUCUAGGAGUGCACCAGGCUCACUCUCUGCAUCCCCGGCCGCCUCCUGGGUUCUCCUGUCCUCAUGGUUACCUUUAAUGAAACAAGAAGUCAUUUCUGUCUUUACAGAAAGGACAGAUGAAUCAGAGGGUUGUUCAGCAAAGGGACUAAUG